UACGUAGGGGGCAAGCGUUGUCCGGAAUCAUUGGGCGUAAAGAGCGUGUAGGCGGCCCGGUAAGUCCGCUGUGAAAGUCCAGGGCUCAACCCUGGAAUGCCGGUGGAUACUGUCGGGCUCGAGUCCGGAAGAGGCGAGUGGAAUUCCUGGUGUAGCGGUGAAAUGCGUAGAUAUCAGGAAGAACACCCAUUGCGAAGGCAGCUAACUACGCGAAUAUUGACGCUGAGGCACGAAAGCGUGGGGAUCAAACAGG
rnacentral:rRNA from 1 species